rnacentral:lncRNA from 1 species
AAUCUAUAGAGAUGUCAUCAUCACUGGAAACUAACAUGCAACUCCCCAACGGCAACUCCACUACCGAUGGCGCCUCUUCAGCUGCAGGAUUCGGCGCUGCCGCCACCACAAUUCCAUCAUCAAAGAUUGGCCAACUGGCUGAGUCUUCGAAACUGGAACAUCAAUUCCUCGGGGUUCCCUUCCAGCACUACAAGAAAACGAUCCACGCCAACCAUCGUGUCUUCGAAAAAGAGGUAAUUGCCGUCAUCUCCGGUGUAGCUGAGGCAGAGCCGGUCCUGUGGC